UACGUAGGGUGCAAGCGUUAAUCGGAAUUACUGGGCGUAAAGCGUGCGCAGGCGGUGAUGUAAGACAGAUGUGAAAUCCCCGGGCUUAACCUGGGAACUGCAUUUGUGACUGCAUAGCUAGAGUACGGUAGAGGGGGAUGGAAUUCCGCGUGUAGCAGUGAAAUGCGUAGAUAUGCGGAGGAACAACGAUGGCGAAGGCAGUCCCCUGGACCUGUACUGACGCUCAUGCACGAAAGCGUGGGGAGCAAACAGG
rnacentral:rRNA from 1 species